UGUGCUGGGAGUCGUCUGCACCGUCACUGUGGGCCUGGCCUCUGCCCCUUUGCCACAACCUAUCAGCGGUAAGUGACCUCCCACAGAUUCCCUUAAUCUGUGCCCUCACAUCUGCUGCUGGCCGAGGGAGUUCCAGCAAAGUUGGAGACCCGCCCCUCAACAUGCAACUUGGGAGUGGCCCGCCCAGGUAGUAUUUGGACUCUGUGACGACCGUGCACCUUCGGUGUUUCACAGCAUUUUAGCUAAAACCAAAGUCUGGCCUUCUGACAGAUCUAGCCAGGAGGGUAACUCCCAGGGUCAACGGGGUAGAAGGUGAAGGCCAAACCCAGCCCCCUGGGGUCGCUGACCUCUCCCAGCCCUGCCAGCGGCCCCUCGGCCUCAGGGCUGCCUGUGACAGCUGAGAGGGAGCACAACCUUCCGACCUUGGCUGUGGGCACAGCUGAGGGCCCUUCUUGAUGCCGGCCGUCCUCAUCCAUUCUCCGGGUACAGUCUCACCUGGCUGGAGCCUGUGUACACACGACCUCACUCUCUAAGAGGACGGAGGUGCCCCCCCCCCCCCCCCACCUCCGGAACGGACAUCUGGGCAUUUCUGUAAAAGGUGGCCCCGCGAGGCCCCGGCCAGGACAUCGGGCAGAUGACACCGGGAGGCCCUGACGCAGGUGUCUGCAUUCCGGGGGCGGAAUGCAGGGGUUUGGCUGCUCUGAGGGGCACUGCGGUGGGGAGGCUGUGCCUUUCCACGGGCCGAGCGGCAAGCCUCCCCGCCGCUGCCUCCCACCGGGGCCGGGACGACGGACCCUCCCAGACGCUGCCCGACUUCCGCUCGACAAGGAAGAGUCACCCCGAACCGCACCUCU